GACGAACGCUGGCGGCGUGCUUAACACAUGCAAGUCGUACGGUAAGGCCCUUUCGUUGGUCCUCGAGUGGCGAACGGGUGCGUAACACUUGAGUAACCUGCCCACAACUUUGGGAUAACGCUAGGAAACUGGUGCUAAUACUGGAUAUGUGCUCCUUCUGCAUGGGGGGGGUUGGAAAGCUCCGGCGGUUGUGGAUGGACUCGCGGCCUAUCAGCUUGUUGGUGUGGUAGUGUCCUACCAAGGCGGCGGCGGGUAGCCGGCCUGAGAGGGUGACCGGCCACACUGGGACUGAGAUACGGCACAGACUCCUACGGGACGGAGAAGUGGGGAAUCUUGCACAAGGGGCGCAAGCCUGAUGCAGAAACGCCGCGUGCGGGAAGACGGCCUUAGGGUUGUAAAACGCAUUCAGAAGGGACGAAGCUUUUUGUGACGGUACCUGAAGAAGAAGCACCGGCUAACUACGUG
rnacentral:rRNA from 1 species